CCUACGGGAGGCAGCAGUGGGGGAUAUUGCACAAUGGGGGGAACCCUGAUGCAGCGACGCCGCGUGUGGGAAGACGGUCCUCUGGAUUGUAAACCACUGUCCACAGGGACGAAAAUGACGGUACCUGGGGAGGAAGCUCCGGCUAACUACGUGCCAGCAGCCGCGGUCAUACGUAGGGGGCGAGCGGUGUCCGGAAUCACUGGGUGUAAAGGGAGCGUAGGCGGGGAUGCAAGUUGGGUGUCAAAACUACGGGCUCAAAUGGUAGUCGCACUCGAAACUGCAGCUCUUGAGUGAAGUAGAGGCAGGCGGAAUUCCUAGUGUAGCGGUGAAAUGCGUAGAUAUUAGGAGGAACACCAGUGGCGAAGGCGGCCUGCUGGGCUUUUACUGACGCUGAGGCUCGAAAGUGUGGGGAGCAAACAGGAUUAGAUACCCUUGUAGUC
rnacentral:rRNA from 1 species